UCUUUAUUUGACUGUAAACAGGAUUUUCCUGGAUCGCAGUCUUGAUGGUGAAGGGGAAGAUGGACAGAUCAAGAUUGUAAGUGGGUGCUGGGCGGCAGGGGGUGCCCUGUGCGCACAUCUGUCACUUCCACUUCAUCUGGAAGGCAGCUCGGCCAGUAACUCGCUGGUCUUUCUCCAAGAAACACGAGCGGGCAGAGCGUCCCGAGACCGACCCAGGUCCACCAGGCCACACCAGGGAUUCUUUUCCAAUGAAGCAUCCGCCCCGGGACCGCUUCCUUCCCAGCAACUAAGACGGCGGCAUAGGCAGGUGCACUGCCCUAGGACGAGAAGAAGCAAUGGUCCUCCCGACAGCCCCAAAUGGCCUCCCUCAGCAACGCUCAGAGACGCUUACGCUGUGACCCAGCCCCACGCCAGCCCAGAAAACAAACACCGAACCGACGACUAGGGCAACCAGCAACACAGGCACAAGAGCGUAAUACCGAGUAGCAGAAGACAGCAGGAGCCUGAGGCUGGAGGCUGGUGCAGCUUCUUGGACCCGUACAGGUGCUCGCCAGGAGAGAGGAAGAAAGCGCACGGCUGUGCCGGCUGCCGGGUGGCAUCUUCCACAUCCCACACAGUGCCUGCAGCCCCGCGGAGACCCCUGGCAUAGCGCCUCCCGCCCCUGUUCGGCCACCUGCUUCUCCCCAGUCCUCAGGUGUUGUACAUCUCCUUCACCCGCCGGUAGCGGAAGGCCAGCUUCCUCAUCCAGUCCACGCCGCCGUGCACGCCCGAGCCCAGGCACAGGUUGGCUCCUGGGGCCGAGCUGUGGAAGCCAUCGGUGGAGAAGUUGUA